GUUUGUCAGCAUGCUGCUCAUGGAUUACAGAUGUUUGGGGUGCCAUCAAACCAUAUCCACUCAAAACCGUUACCACAACUUACAGAAUUCCUCCCACAAGCUCUGUGUUAUGAGUUUGAAAGAACUCAAGAAACGCCUAAUGAUUCUUGAUGACUAAAUGAGCGAAAAUUCCUUUAGUAUAUAAUAAUCACAGCGCUUCAUUCAUUCAUUAAAAGCUUUUAAGUCGCAUAACUGAUGCGCUCUUUGCUGUAUAAAACUAUGAUAUAAUUGGAAGAUUUUUGCAAUCUUUAGUCAACCAUUUGAGACAGACUGACGGGUGUUUCUCAGAAAAGAUACAAAAAUUUACUGAAAGAGGGAAAGAGAUAUCAUUUAAACGCGGUACAUUGCCUUCGCGCGCUUCCUCGCUCCGGGCACCUGUCUUUGUUGUUCAACAUUGAUGAAGUGAUUAUUAUUAUACUUAAGAGUGGUGGUGGUCUGCCCAGUUACUUUGGGUUAAUAGGACGAUUUUGUGUGGUAUGAAUUGUUGUCUAUUGUUUAAACUAUGGAACCGUUAGUGAAAGUGAUUUUCCUGCUCGUGGUAUUCCCAUUCACGACUUGUCAAGAUAUUUUGUUAAAAGAAAAUGAAUAUUUCUGUGGAAACAAACCUGCAGACAUUUACAUUCUUCUUGACUCCUCUAACAGUAUCUGGGGACCGAAUUUUCGGACUCAGAUUAAUUUUGUAAGGAAUGUGACCACCAUGUUUGACAUUGGUACAAACACGACACGGGUGGGCGUCCUGACUUAUAAUACCGAUGUGGUGGAGGAAAUCGGUCUGGAAGACUUCAGUAACAAAGGCGACCUGUUAACCGCCAUCAGCAACAUCCGGCAAAGAGGAGGCUACAACACACAUACAUUUGAAGCCAUAAGGUUUAUGCGCAGACGGAUGUUACGAAAUACUGCGGACAAAAGAGAUAAUGCCGCUAAAAUAGGAAUCAUUGUGACCGAUGGUCAGUCCUCUAACGUAUUGUUAACUGUCUGGGAAGCAGCCAAAACCAAGCGGAAAGGAAUUCGUCUGUUCGCCAUUGGUAUAGGUGGUAAUACAAAUUCUAGGGAACUUCAAGGCAUUGCCAGUAAACCUGAAAGUGAUCACGUGUUUGAAAUAAACAACUUUGACGCAUUGGAGUCAAUUCGACAAAUAUUGGCAGUUCGAACUUGUGAAGCCUACAACAACAACAACAACAAAGCCUACAACAACAACAACAACGCCUACAACAACAACAACGCCUACGACUACGACAACGCCGACAACUACCACAACCCCGACACCAACUACAACGCCGACAACUUCCACAACGCCUAUAACUACCACAACACCAACGACUACUACGAGUCCAAAACCUACAACAACUUCAUUUCUACAAUUUGUAAGACAAGCGUGUUCUGGAGACAAAAACGACAUUAUGAUAGCCAUCGACUCAUCCAGCAAUGUGAGGAACUUUGAAUUUGAUUUACAGUUGAAGUUCGUAGCUGAUUUAUCCAAAAAUAUGAACUUUAUGAAAAACACUACACAGAUCGGUGCAAUCUUCUAUAGUAAUGCCGUGAGUAGCAUUAUUGGUCUGUCUGAAUCAAAAGUAAAACACAGCCUAGAGACUCGAUUAAAACACGUCAAGAGAACACACGGUAGAGGAAGAGUAGACGAGGCGAUCCGAUACAUAAGGACAAAGGGGUUCCGAAGAAGUGUAAUAAGAAAAGAUGCUACUCAGAUAGGAAUUAUCAUUACCGCCAGUCCUGGAACAUACAUUCGAAAAUCCAAGCGACAAGCCACUAAAGCUAGGGAGACUGGAAUUAUUUUGAUCGCCGUUGGAAUUGGUGAUAUAAACACUGAAGAAUUGAAUGCAAUUUCUGGAACCAUGGAUGGAAGUUUACAAUAUCACUUUCCAUCUGCUAGAUUUUUGUCUGCAAAUCUAGCAAACAUUGCCUAUAAUGUGUGCAAAAUUGACAGGAACGCCGUGACUGCUGUCUCUGAUAAAGCCUGCGGGUCACGACAAGAGGCAGACUUUAUGUUUAUGUUGGAUGGUGUGAAUGCCGGGAAAACCAACACUCGGAAAACUCUGGCCUUUAUACAAGAUCUGUUGAAGGACGUCGAUGUCAGCCCCCGGAAGGUGCGAGUCGGCGUCAUGUCCACUGAGCCGAAAUGCGUCAACGAGUUUACAGGGUUUGAUUUAAAUACCUACAAACGCAACAAAAAACUCAACCGGGCCCUAGAAAAAUUCAAAGGUGUGGAUGUGGCAGCAGUAGUGAAAAAACUUCGACAAAACAUGAUUGCGAGAGCUAAAGGAGGCAGGAAAGGUGCCAAAAAGAUUGCUAUUCUAUUCAUAGACGAGGGGUUGGAGGAUCCGGUCAAAGCAUUCCUAGAAGCAGAAAGGGCCAGCAUCCAGGGAAUUGAAGUUUAUAUAGUCAAAAUUGGAAAGGGUCUCUUACAGGAAAAUGAAAAAGUAGAACAAAUGGUCAAUGACGAAGGUUUCAAGCAUCAAAGCUUCACGGAAAACAACAUUUAUCACAUUUCAAAUUAUGAUGAACUACCAGACAUAAAAAGAGAAAUAUGGUACAAUAUUUGUGAUGAACUCUGAUUAGAUGCGAGAUGCACUCUUGGAUGGGGACCAAUGAAAAUUGCCAAAAUGAAAGCCUUGCUCGGGUCUAUUGAGAUAUUCCAAAGCGAUGGUUCUGUUUAUUCUCCAAAAUGAGUAAAAAAAACAGGAAGUGCUGUAACAUGCUUCAAGAACACAGUGUCAUAUGCUUCAACUGAAUGUAAAAAUGGUGAACAGGACACAGAGGAAUCAUCUCACUUCAUUAUAUCUAAAUAAUCAGUUCAGCCAUGGUCCACAAUAAAGAAUUCCCACCGGAAAUCAAACGUGGUAAUCCCUGUGCUUUUGCAGUCCAAAGAUGGAACUGUGUUUGAUAUCUCAUGUGUUUAUCAAUUGAACGUGAAGUUUGAAUGCUGAAGUGUUUGCGUGCGAAAAUGUUACGUUUAAAUGAGAUGAAUUCAAAUAUUUUGAAUUGAUCAUGUUAUAUUGAUUUGAAUUACGCAGUGCAGUAAUGAUCGAUACAUUUCAUUUAAUAAUUUUUCUAUUCAAUUUUUUCUAUGAAUUCAAAUGUUCAUGAUUUAAAUAAACUUAAAAAAAG
rnacentral:misc_RNA from 1 species